UACGAAGGGGGCUAGCGUUGCUCGGAAUCACUGGGCGUAAAGGGUGCGUAGGCGGGUCUUUAAGUCAGGGGUGAAAUCCUGGAGCUCAACUCCAGAACUGCCUUUGAUACUGAAGAUCUUGAGUCCGGGAGAGGUGAGUGGAACUGCGAGUGUAGAGGUGAAAUUCGUAGAUAUUCGCAAGAACACCAGUGGCGAAGGCGGCUCACUGGCCCGGUACUGACGCUGGGGCACGAAAGCGUGGGGAGCAAACAGG
rnacentral:rRNA from 1 species